ACCCGCACCGGAUCUAUAGAUGUGCCAGUAUCUAGUCAACUUCACCCUCCCUUAUCCACCAGGAAAGGCAGGGUGAUGAAGGUGGAGUGGAUUCUGAACAGAGAGAAAAUGCUCGGCGGGUAGUCGCCUUUUCCAAUCGGAGUGCCAUGCGCAGGCCGGCUGGCCUAUGGGACUCGGCUGCUAGGGCGAGAGGCGGGCCUCUCAGAAGUAGGAAGUAUUCGUGGGUGUCUGGGUGUUCGACUUGGCGGCCUCCGGGAAAAGGGAAGCGCGAGCUGUGGACAUGCUCAUGGCGCGAAGCGGUGAUCAAGGCAGCUGCAAGAAUAUUUGACUUCAUUUGUACGCCUUCUCAGGAGGAUAACUGUUGACCUCCAAAAGUGGAAGUGGCCGGAGAGGUUGAACUUCUCAGAUGUUACCCGCGGCUCCUCGUCUAGGGCCACACCAGAGCCGAGCCAGUAUCUGUACCUGGAUUUGAAUGCAGAAGAUUGGCCCACAGCCACGAGGACCAUCCAGUACCAGGGAUCUCAGGGGCAGCUGCUGGGACGUGUAAGCUGGAGAAGAUGCCUGCCAAUCAGUGGUGAUGGAGAGGUGCACCUUGAAGGUUGCAGUUUGAGUCCCUGAUGCCCCUGUGGGUACCAGGGACUCUGUCCUGCAGAGGGUGCCAGCGCUCCUCAUUUCUUGAAGCACCUGAGCAGGUGGUCAGCUGUGCUGUGAAAUUUCCACAGUGGUUACUUGGAGACAAAAGAGAGGACCCCUAUCCAGAUGAGGAACAUGAGGCCAGCUUACUGGUCCCAGGACCUCCAGGUGAGGAUGGAGAUGGUCAAGAGGGGAGCCGCCCUGCCCCGGGAUGGUGAGAACUAGACUCGGAGUAAGAGGAAGCUGCCUCUACUUAGUCUGCUCUGUACAAAGGGGAAUCAGCUCUGUUUCAAAGAAGACUUUGAAAAACGGCUUUUCCUAGUACUCUCCUCCCGUUGAUCACCUCCUGAUGGCUGACGGAGACCCUGCCUGUUUCCCAUACGUGCGUACUCCAGAGCAGGUGGGAAGCAAGCGCCGCCCCAGCUUCCCUUCUGCCUGGCGGAGGACUCCCUUUUGGAGUCAGAAGAUCCAGAGUGCCAGGUCUGGGCAUCCUCUGUUCCUCGCAGGCAUCUGACCCCUCAUUCCCUUGCUGAACAAACUCAGAAGCUCACUGGAGAGGUUGUACCACCCCUACAGGCAGCACCCACUCCUGUGCCAUCUUAGAGAGAUGGCCAGCUAGCCCCAGGAGAUGGUCCUUCUACCUUAUUGAUGCAUGCUGCCUGUCAGUUGCCUUUUUCUCUGAACAUACUUUAUUUUUUAUUUUGAUUUUUUUAUUUUGCUUUUUAGGGCCG